GGAGGGUGCAAGCGUUAUCCGGAUUCACUGGGUUUAAAGGGAGCGCAGGCGGGCUGGUAAGUCAGUGGUGAAAGCCUUGAGCUUAACUCGAGAACUGCCAUUGAUACUAUCAGUCUUGAAUAUUGUUGAGGUUUGCGGAAUGGGUCAUGUAGCGGUGAAAUGCAUAGAUAUGACCCGGAACACCUAUUGCGAAGGCAGCAGGCUAAACAAAGAUUGACGCUGAGGCUCGAAAGCGUGGGGAUCAAACAGGAUUAGAUACCCUGGUAGUCCACGCCCUAAACUAUGAUUACUCGACAUACGCGAUACACUGUGUGUGUCUGAGCGAAAGCAUUAAGUAAUCCACCUGGGAAGUACGACCGCAAGGUUG
rnacentral:rRNA from 1 species